GGUUGGCGGGAGCAGCUUCCCGAUCUUAGCCCUUGCCCUGCCGCACCCGAGGCUGCCCGGGUCCUCCCCGUACUGAGGAGGCUGCGGGCACCCCGGGCGCACGCCCGCAGAGUCCCGGUUCCUCAGUCUUGCUCUGCUGCCUGGGCGGCGCUCCCGGGUCCUUCCGCCGCUGUGUCCUCGUGUGCCAAGUGCUGAUGACCGCUCUCCGCCUCGCCUGUUGGAAUGUCGCCGCGGCGCCAGGUCAGCUCACUGUCUUCAGCCUCCUCCGGCAUGCUCGGUGUUGUAUUUCAGCCUCCAGAAUUCGUCCUCCGGCAGAACAGAACUCACCCCUUCAGACCUAGAAGAUGUAGUUUGGAAGGGUUUGGAACGACUCUUGAAACACGGUGACAUCCUAACCCCCUCGGCACGUGUGAAAGUACUCAGUGCGCCCUCGUGACAUCCACACUUCCACGCAGUUCUCUACAAUAGAGUGUCGACGGGGGCGGCGGCGCUCGUUGCAGCGAUCGGUCAUAGGAAUGUCAGUGCAGCAAGAAACAUUCAGUUCAGCUGUGUUCUUUCUGAGUUAGAUCGUUCAGACUGGGACGUUGCUGUGGGUGUGCACCUUGAAGCACAGGGCGUGCGUUUUCAGCAGGCGAACGUCACUUGGAUGUCCUGUGGUGUUUUUUUUUUUUACUAACAUCCAACUGCUUUCAGUCCUAGCCAGAAACAGAAGAAUGGAGUUUCAGUUUCACCUAGUUGCCAGAAGAAAAUAUUUGUCCACUAGUCUGCACCAAAGCUAACAAUAUGGCUUGGGAACACGACGUGGAAUAAAGCGUGGACAGGGGUCCAGAACUGAA